AACGAACGCUGGCGGCAGGCUUAACACAUGCAAGUCGAGCGGGCACUUCGGUGUCAGCGGCAGACGGGUGAGUAACGCGUGGGGAUCUGCCUAGUGGUACGGAACAACACAGGGAAACUUGUGCUAAUACCGUAUAAGUCCUUCGGGGGAAAGAUUUAUCGCCAUUAGAUGAACCCGCGUCUGAUUAGCUAGUUGGUGAGGUAAUGGCUCACCAAGGCGACGAUCAGUAGCUGGUCUGAGAGGAUGAUCAGCCACACUGGGACUGAGACGCGGCCCAGACUCCUACGGGAGGCAGCAGUGGGGAAUAUUGGACAAUGGGCGCAAGCCUGAUCCAGCCAUGCCGCGUGAGUGAUGAAGGCCUUAGGGUUGUAAAGCUCUUUCGUUGGGGAAGAUAAUGA
rnacentral:rRNA from 1 species